rnacentral:misc_RNA from 1 species
GAGCGAGGUUGUGGUGAGGGCUUGUGUGGCUGUGCUCGGUGUUGUGCUGUGAACUCGAUGUGCGUGCGUUAUCAGUUGAUAAGAUAACGUACUGCUGAUACUGAUUGAUAUAUAAUAUAAAAGAUAUUGCACUGCAGACUGCUGUGUAUUUAUGAAUUAAUAUUUAAGAUAAAGAAUAACUUGCUGUGACGUAGGUUGUGCUCAUGUGAUUAAUACUGACUAGAGGAGACACCACAGAAGACCUUCAUGUAAUUUCAUGGGCUGACAGAUAAACAGCUCAGAGUCCAGAACAAUGAGCAAGUUAUUUCCAAUGUUCAAGAAGAAGGGGAGGGGGAAGGAAGAGGAGAUAGAGGAUGAGACAAAGAAGAAGAAGAGAGGUAAGACAGGGAAGGGAAAAGAGGAGAUUAUCAGUUCCGCUCUUCCAUCCCUGUCCCCCUCUUUCUCCAAAUCAGGUAAGAAGAAGAAGAAGGAGAAAGAUGCAAAGCAGAAAGAAUUGUCGUUUGGGAAGGAGAAUCUCUUUGUGGCGGACAUGGAGGAACUGCAGAACAGAGAGUUCUAUAUUGGCGACGAUGGUUCUGUGAAAACGGGGCCCAGGCUGGAAGUGACAAGUUUUGACGUGUCCUUUGAAGAGGAAGUCAUUGGCAUCCCAAGAGGAAAAGGCAGUGUCACAGACGGGGACCUGGAAAUCGAUGUCCAAAUUGAUGAGGAGAGUGUGGUCAGCUUAAACAGGGAUGACAGUGCAUCUGAAGAGAGUGGAAGUAGAUUGGAUUACGAGGAUGGUGAUAUUUCCGGAAAAAGUUUUAAUGUUGUUGGGGGGUUCUCUGAGGACGUUUUUGAGGCAAGCACAGACUUGUUUAAAGAUUCUAAUGUACCUGACGAGGAAGAAGCCGGUGAGGAAAUUCUGGCAAAUAUCAGUGGAUCAUCUGAAAACACAGACCUUAUGUUUACUAGUCAUUGUGAGGAACAAAGUCCUGAUGCGAAACACGAAGAAAAAGAAGAUUCGGGCAUUAGCAUAAAGGAUCUCUCCCCUCCAGAGCUGGACAGAAGUGGUUCAUCAGAGAACUUAUCUGCUGAGAGAUAUGCUAUGAAUGGAAAUUCAGAAGCAGCAGCAACUCGUAACAUUGAAAAUGGAGAAUUGCCUGAUAUGGAGGACACAAAAGGGACUAAUGAGGAUACCGUUAGUGUUAGUGCUUGUUCUGCUGUGAAGGAAGAUCAGUCAGUGGUUGUGAUCUCAAAUAGUGAAGAAACUCAGGAAGCAAGUCCAUCUCUAAUUUUGCCUCAAAAGGAAAGUGACCCAGAUGGAAAUAACAGUGGGGAGACAGUAACACCAGAGGCAGAGGAUGAACACACCAAGGAUGACCAAAGCCUGUUGAGCAGCCAGGAUAGUGAUGAAGACUUUGAUUCAGCUCAGGAAGAUUGGGAUGAAGCAGACGGUGGGGAACAGAAAGAGAUUAAUCCUGAAGGGCAUAAAUCAGGUUUGUUGGAUGGCAGUGUAGUCGAAGAUCAGAGUAACCAUGAAAUUAAAUUAGCUGAGCAAGGUAAAUCAUCAUCAGCUGGUCUGCUCUUGAAUGAAUCGGUUAAUAGUGCCAUGAUACAUAGGAUUGAGGAGAGUGAAAAUGUUAGGGAUAUACAAAGGGAAAUUAGCAGUGGUUCUUCCCAAUUUGAAGAUGCAUCUUUUAUUCAGGAGAAUGCAGAUGCUGUUGGUAUUAAUACAGUGGUUGAGGCCUAUAAUGAUGAUGUCACAAUUGACUCUAAGGGAGUUGAAAGAAGGAAUUCCCUAUCAAAGGAAAAGCUUGUUCGAAAAUUGUCUGGCAUAUCAACAACCUCUAGUGAUGCCUUCAAUGAGGAGUUAGAUGAGCUUUUGGAUGAAGAACUGGACAGAUUGUCAGAGGAGGAGGAAGGAUUAGAGUCAGAGGACAGCCAGUCCCUGAAGACAUGCCAGUCAUCAUUAGGAGAGGUCCUUGCAAGUAGCCAAGAUGCCAGUCUUUCUGAGGAUAUUUGUAGAGCAGGUGAAGAAGACCUUAAAGUUGAGGUUGAGUUGCCAGGAGAUUCUCCAGUUGUUCCUGAGACACCUGACAUACCCGAGAAAAGGAUAGAAGAUAGUGAAAUCAAAACAGAAGUAAUUGACAUUGAUGUCAAAGAUGGAAAAGCAGAGAUCUAUGACUUAUCACCUGAAAGCAGUACUAGCUUGAAGAACAGUGCCAGUUCACCAGACAUAGCCAAGACCUCACUUCUAAACCCUGAUGAAGGAACAGAGUUAGUGAAGGACAGUGGUUAUUAUAGCCUCCCUGUAUCACCAAAGCCUGGGAUAGACCUGCGUGAGAAUAAGGAUAAUGCCAGUGUGGCCAACAAGGGUGAUGAUUCUUUUGUUGAUAGUGAGGAAGAGGGCAUGGUCACCCCUCCCAGUGAAACAACAUUGGUGAAAGAUGAUUCUUCAAAACAAAAGGAAGGUGAGGAUUGUGUGGAUGAUAAACUGCCUCAGAAUGGGUCAACCCAUGAUGAGUCAACUCUUCUAUAUCAGUCUUGUCUUGAAAGCAAUGAAGCUGAAGAUACUGAAAAGAUAGAGAAGGUAACAGAUAGCAACAAUGACAUGCAUAGUGAAACUGAAAUUUCAGAGCAUUCCAACAACUCAAGUACAAGUAAAGCCAAAAAUCUUGAGCUUCAUAUUCCAAAGGAUGUAACCACAGAGUUUAAAGAGGAAAUUAAUUCUCCAAGUUUGGGAACACCAACCAAAAAUAGACUGAAAUCUCCAAUUCCUGAAAAUACACCACUGAAGGCAGACAGUGGUUCUCUGACAAGUCCUGAUCCUGUUGGAGACAGGUUCUUGGCAGUAGCUGUUUGCCAAUCACAUGAUGAAGCCGAGGCGCGGCUAGCCCAACGACGAGCAGCACGUGCGGAAGCGAGAGAACUCAGACUACGAGAACUCGAAAAGCAGCAGCAGGACCAAGAAAAUGAAGAGGAAAAGCAAUUCGGAACCCCUGCGUUUGCAGAGGCCGAGGAAGAUGAAGAGGAGGAUGAUGAUGAUGAGGAGGAAUCCCAAGAGCCUUCACCUAGAGCGGCUGCCCCCACCCGGACGCCGCUCAGUCGCACAGGGGCACUCAGCAGCGCGGGGCAGUUCUCCAGAAGGUCAUCAGAGGACUCCACCACUGAUGACUCCGCACUCCCGGCCAACGUGAGGGAGAUGAGGGCCGAAUUGAAAGAAUUAGACGAAAAAUUCCGCAAGGCUAUGAUAACUAAUGCCCAGUUAGAUAAUGAAAAAGCGACUCUAACAUUUGAAGUAGAACUAAUGAAGGAUAAGUAUACUGAGCUUGAAGAAACACAUACACAGUUAUCGAAAGAGCAUAGGAAGAAGUGUACUGAAUAUGAACAACUUAAGAAAGUAGCAACAAAGUUACAAGAAGAAGUUAAAGCUCUUCGGGCUUUGUUACAAGAAAGAGAUGCGUUAAUACAGGAAUACGGCUUGGUGGUGGUUGGUGAGGAAGAGAAUGGAGAAGCGGAAAUUCCCGCCAAGGAUGAAGACGAUGAGUUUGCUGAUAUGGAUGACCUCACACCUAGGAAAAUUGCAGUGAAGAAGGCGCUGCUUUCUCAGGAAGCAGCCGAAUUGCUCAGCAAAGGGGCUGCUCAGGAUUCAUUAGAUAUUAGGCUAAAGAAGUUUGGCGAAGAGAAGAAGGAACUAGAAGACCAAGUUAGAAGAUUGAAGCUCGAACUUGAGGAGGAAAAGAAUAAGAACAGAAGAAGAAAAGAAAACGGUUUAGACUAUGACAGGCAAAGUGGCAAGGCUGGAUGCUCUCUCGACUCGAUAUAGGACCCAAUCGGAAGAACUAGAGAAGAGUGAAGAGGAACUAAAAUCUGAAAAACGAAAAUUACAACGGGAGCUAAGGGAUGCCCAGAAUAGGUUAGAAGAACUGGAAACCACCAAUAACCAUCUAA